rnacentral:rRNA from 1 species
AAAUUGAAGAGUUUGAUCAUGGCUCAGAUUGAACGCUGGCGGCAGGCCUAACACAUGCAAGUCGAGCGGUAGCACAGAGAGCUUGCUCUCGGGUGACGAGCGGCGGACGGGUGAGUAAUGUCUGGGAAACUGCCUGAUGGAGGGGGAUAACUACUGGAAACGGUAGCUAAUACCGCAUAAUGUCGCAAGACCAAAGUGGGGGACCUUCGGGCCUCAUGCCAUCAGAUGUGCCCAGAUGGGAUUAGCUAGUAGGUGGGGUAACGGCUCACCUAGGCGACGAUCCCUAGCUGGUCUGAGAGGAUGACCAGCCACACUGGAACUGAGACACGGUCCAGACUCCUACGGGAGGCAGCAGUGGGGAAUAUUGCACAAUGGGCGCAAGCCUGAUGCAGCCAUGCCGCGUGUGUGAAGAAGGCCUUCGGGUUGUAAAGCACUUUCAGCGGGGAGGAAGGCGUUAAGGUUAAUAACCUUGCGAUUGACGUUACCCGCAGAAGAAGCACCGGCUAACUCCGUGCCAGCAGCCGCGGUAAUACGGAGGGUGCAAGCGUUAAUCGGAAUUACUGGGCGUAAAGCGCACGCAGGCGGUCUGUCAAGUCGGAUGUGAAAUCCCCGGGCUCAACCUGGGAACUGCAUUCGAAACUGGCAGGCUAGAGUCUUGUAGAGGGGGUAGAAUUCCGGUGUAGCGGUGAAAUGCGUAGAGAUCUGGAGGAAUACCGGUGGCGAAGGCGGCCCCUGGACAAAGACUGACGCUCAGGUGCGAAAGCGUGGGGAGCAAACAGGAUUAGAUACCCUGGUAGUCCACGCCGUAAACGAUGUCGAUUUGGAGGUUGUGCCCUUGAGGCGUGGCUUCCGGAGCUAACGCGUUAAAUCGACCGCCUGGGGAGUACGGCCGCAAGGUUAAAACUCAAAUGAAUUGACGGGGGCCCGCACAAGCGGUGGAGCAUGUGGUUUAAUUCGAUGCAACGCGAAGAACCUUACCUGGUCUUGACAUCCACAGAACUUUCCAGAGAUGGAUUGGUGCCUUCGGGAACUGUGAGACAGGUGCUGCAUGGCUGUCGUCAGCUCGUGUUGUGAAAUGUUGGGUUAAGUCCCGCAACGAGCGCAACCCUUAUCCUUUGUUGCCAGCGGUUCGGCCGGGAACUCAAAGGAGACUGCCAGUGAUAAACUGGAGGAAGGUGGGGAUGACGUCAAGUCAUCAUGGCCCUUACGACCAGGGCUACACACGUGCUACAAUGGCAUAUACAAAGAGAAGCGACCUCGCGAGAGCAAGCGGACCUCAUAAAGUAUGUCGUAGUCCGGAUUGGAGUCUGCAACUCGACUCCAUGAAGUCGGAAUCGCUAGUAAUCGUGGAUCAGAAUGCUACGGUGAAUACGUUCCCGGGCCUUGUACACACCGCCCGUCACACCAUGGGAGUGGGUUGCAAAAGAAGUAGGUAGCUUAACCUUCGGGAGGGCGCUUACCACUUUGUGAUUCAUGACUGGGGUGAAGUCGUAACAAGGUAACCGUAGGGGAACCUGCGGUUGGAUCACCUCCUUA